UUGGCACUUGCACUCAAAAAAGAUGGCGCGGAAGACCUCAAGCGCGUCACGCGACCCGUCCGCAGGACUCUUGCGCGGCUCAUAUUCCCGCACACGGCGACCCAGAGCGGGAGGAGGAAGCAUGGACUGGGGGGCGGCUGUGGCCGGGGAGGCUCUUGGCCGCUGUUGUGUGGCUGCGCUGCUGGAGCUGCCGGGCGGGAUGCUGUACCCCCGGAAGAGACCGUCGCAGGAGCUCCAGGAGCUGGACGGCCUCUGGAGCUUCCGCGCCGACUUUUCCGACAGUGGACACGGGCUUCGAGGAGCAGAGGGCUGGUGAAUUACCAGAUCUCCGUCAAGUGUAGUAACUAGUUCGAGUUGGAAGUGUAUCUUUUGGAUGCAGAAAACAAAGUCGUGGACAAUGUGGCCAGGACCCAGGGCCAGCUGAAGGUGCCGGGUGCCAACCUCUGGUGGCCAGACCGGAUGCACGGACGCCCCGCCUACCUGUACUCGUGGGAGAUCUGAGGGAAGGACUUCGACUGUCUGCUGCUGGUGAAGGACUUCAACCUGCUUUGCUGGCUUGGCACCAACGCCUUCUGCACCAGCCAUUAUCCCUACACAGAGAAGCUGCAGAUGUGUGACCGGGAUGGGAUUGUGGUUAUUGAUGAGUGUCCCGCUGUGGGCCUGGUGCUGCCAUGAGUCCCUGCUGUGCACCUGCUCCAUCUGGCCAGCCCAUGGGCCACACCGUGCCUCUGUCCCUUCCCUCCUGGCCCCCGGCAGCUCUUCAGCAAUGUGUCUAUGCAUCACUACAUGUGGGUGAUGGAAGAACUGGUGCACAGAGACAAGAAUCACCCUGCCCUGGUGAUGUGGUCUGACCAACGAGCCUGCGUCCUACCUAGAAUCUGCUGGCUACUACAUCAAGUGAGUGCCCCCGGCCUGUCCUGGGCUGGAUCGGGAAGGAGACCCUGGCAGGUGGCAGACGGGUGGACGUGUGCAGUCCGAGAUCAGCGUCCCAUCCCACCCCAAUGGGAGGGCCGUCCAUACCCGGACAGUUCAGGGAACCAGAUAUCCACCUACCCAAAUUGUGGUUUUCUUUUUCUAUGUUUUUGAGACGGAGUUUUGCUGUGUCGCCCAGGCUGGAGUGCAGUGGUGAGAUCUGGGCUCACUUCACCCUCGGCCUCCUGGGUUCAAGUGAUUC